GCCUGGAUGGCUUUGUUGGUUAAGUGUCUGACUUCGGCUCAGGUCAAGUCUCACAUUUCAUGGGUUCAAGCCCCGGUUCAGGCU
rnacentral:tRNA from 1 species